AUUGAACGCUGGCGGCAGGCCUAACACAUGCAAGUCGAACGAGUGGCGGACGGGUGAGUAAUGUCUGGGACACUGCCUGAUGGAGGGGGAUAACUACUGGAAACGGUAGCUAAUACCGCAUACCAUCGGAUGUGCCCAGAUGGGAUUAGCUUAUUGGUGGGGUAACGGCUCACCAAGGCGACGAUGCCUAGCUGGUCUGAGAGGAUGACCAUCCACACUGUAACUGAGACACGGUCCAGACUCCGACGGGAGGCUGCAGUGGGGAAUAUUGCACAAUGGGCGCAAGCCUGAUGCAGCCAUGCCGCGUGUGUGAAGAAGGCCGUCGGGUUGUAAAGCACUUGCAGCUGGGAGGCGUUACCCGCAGAAGAAGCACCGGCUAACUCCGUGCCAGCAGCCGCGGUAAUUC
rnacentral:rRNA from 1 species